rnacentral:tRNA from 1 species
GGCUUUAUAUUCAAAAAAUGAUUUUAAAUUGCAAAUUUGAGGGUGUAAUUAAUUUACUAAGGCUU